rnacentral:lncRNA from 1 species
GCAUGUGGAAGCACAGGUGCUAUGCCUGGAACUUGGAAGGUGCAGGUUGCUCCGUUAAAUUGCAUUUUUAAAAACUUUAGAGAUUGAAGACAAGUUACUAGGGAAUCUGGUUGGUUACCAAGUGAACCCGAAUCAACCCUAUGGGGGAUAUUCUGAAUCCUAUGGCUGGAGGUCUUCCCUCUCCUCUCUUACUCCCCUUUCUCUCCUCCCUUCCUCCUAUUUUCCCUCCUCCCCUCCCUUCCUUCCUCUUCCCCUCCUUCCUUCCUUGAUUUCUACUCCCACAAUAAGGGCGUAACAGAAUCUCUGAUGUGAGAGUUUUAAAGGGCUCCUGUGAUUGGGAAUAAGAGCAUCACUUGGAUUCUUUUGUAUCUGCAUCCAGCUAAGUGGCUCUCACUUGAAAGUGUGCUGUAACCAGACAGGAACCCACCAUUACCAUCAUUUCACCUGCUUUUUAAAAACUGCAGUUUAAUCACAAUGUUAGCUAAGCCCAUGGUGGUGAUGGGGAGGAGGCGUGGAGAACAUUUAGGAACCAGCAAAACGUUUCUUCCAUGAAAUAGAAGAAAAAAAAUUUUUUUCCUUAUCUUUCUCUAGGCAAUUUUCUUAUCUUUAUAGUUUAUGACCAUUUGAAAAUGAUGACAAAAUAUUAUUUAUUCAGGUUCUCAUUCUCCUCACUCAGAUAAGACUUGGCUGUGUCUCGUGGAUAGACUGCCUGGGCUGCAGGAUGGGCCUCUGCAUGGUGCAGAAUCCAGACCCUAGGCCCUGGAGGGAUAUGUCUCUCUACCUGCCCCUGUGCCUGUCCGUAUCUGUGACUAUCGGGAGUCUAGCUGGGUCCUCAAAUGGGGUGGGGGGUUGCUGGGCCUUUGGGCUGCGUGUUGCUGAUUUUUUCCCAUCACCUUGUGUUUCUCUCCUUCCUGGCUUUAAAAAAAUCAUUGGAACCUGAGGUCUGAAAAUGAUUGAGGACACAAAUAAGAAUAUAUAACACAUCCACAAAAAAAGUGUAAAUAAAAUAUGACUUAUAAUUCCUUAGCGGGGUAUCAUGAUGUCAAAUUGAUCAUAAACAGAAGCCUGGAAAAAAAAGUUAUUAUUUUUUUAUGACUGAAGUUCAGAACCUGAAAUAAAUAUACAAGCAGCAAUUCACACGGGCAUAAAACUAAUCUUCAAAAAUAUGAAAACCCACCGAACAGCAUGCUUUUUCCAUCACUUGUAGAUUUUCGUCAACGCCGAAUGUGUGAGAAGGAUUUAGCAGAGAUAAAAAGUGCCCACCUUCUUCUUUUCUGAGGGUCAUUGACGAGUGUGUUUCCAUCUCGUCUCACAAUUCUGUGAGGUCUCCCAUUAGCUGAUGAUGGCUGUCCUCACCUGAUGUGGUGACUCCAGGACGUUUGCCCAGAGCCACUGCAGGUAUGAGACCUUCUUUCUCCCAUCGCUGCAUUGGAGGAAAGAUUUCCAACAUGGCUGC